GCCCCCUUCGUCUAGAGGCCUAGGAUUCGUGGUUCUCAGCCAUGCGACAGGGGUUCGAAUCCCCUAGGGGGUACCA
rnacentral:tRNA from 1 species